rnacentral:rRNA from 1 species
GACGAACGCUGGCGGCGUGCUUAACACAUGCAAGUCGAACGGAAAGGCCUUUUCGGAGGUACUCGAGUGGCGAACGGGUGAGUAACACGUGGGUGAUCUGCCCUGCACUCUGGGAUAAGCCUGGGAAACUGGGUCUAAUACCGGAUAGGACCGCACUUUAGUGUGUGUGGUGGAAAGUUGUUUCGGUGUAGGAUGAGCCCGCGGCCUAUCAGCUUGUUGGUGGGGUAAUGGCCUACCAAGGCGGCGACGGGUAGCCGGACUGAGAGGGUGGUCGGCCACAUUGGGACUGAGAUACGGCCCAGACGCCUACGGGAGGCAGCAGUGGGGAAUAUUGCACAAGGGGCGCAAGCCUGAUGCAGCGACGCCGCGGGGGGGAGGACGGCCUUCGGGUUGGAAACUCCUUUCGCCAGGGACGAAGCGUUUUGUGACGGUACCUGGAGAAGAAGCACCGGCUAACUACGUG